AAAGUAAAAGAGUAAAGUGGUACAGUGAAGCUGGUCAGCGACUGGAGAAAGAGCUGAUGUUUCCGGUUCAAUUCACUUUUCAAAGCACGGGUGCCCACUACCUGUCACUGUGUGAAGAGAAGACAUCUAGACUCUCACCAGCAAGACAUCUGACAAACACAGGGGACUUUACCAGAGGGACAGGUAUUAUCCUUCUUUCCAUCACCCAUCACAGCUACACAACGAAAAAUACAGGUCAGCAGUCGGCACCCUUACUGGCUGCUAGAGGGGCCACUCAGGCCAAACAACAGGAAGGCACAGGAGAGUCACCAGAGCCAAAGGACGCAGAGGGUGAGAGCCGCAUAACGCCCGUGCAUAUCAGCAGUUAAUAAGCAAGAUGGGCUAAAACGGGUUGUAACUGAAUAGGACAAUGGCAGCACACUAGCGAUGAGUGAGGACAGAAGAAAAGAGAGAAGGCGGUUUCUGUGGGGGCUCAGGGUCUGCCACCCACAAGUCCCUCUAGAAUUACCAGAAUACAGGCCUUGAAUCUAUACAGUCCAGGCUGCCUCCUUCAUGAAAUAUUUUUAGUCUCUUUUCUAUUUCAACCUUAUGAAAGACUGUGUGUUGACACAUCCAGAAACAAAAAUUAAUCUGACUGGCUUUAAGAGAAGCAAAUCAGCAGGCCCCGAAUAAAUACAAUAAGCAGCGCUUCACUUUUCAUUAGUGUUCUAUAACCUCGUCGGGGGAACAGUCUUUACAAGAGAAGACAUCACGUAUCGGUUCUAAAAUACAGGCUUCUAUAUGCAGACGUUUAUUUUUCUCUGACAGUGGUGGAGACAUGAUUUUUUCGUUGGUUUAUUUUUGUUUAUUGUUGCUGGCCAGUAGAAGUAGGGUGACGAAUUUAAAGAAAAAUGUGAAAUAAAAAUUAAAGCCAUGAAUAAAAAUGGAGUCCAACUUUCCUAAGAUUCGUAUAUGCCUUUUAUAUACAUAUAUAUUCUCACUGUAAGGGUAUUAUGAUACAUACUAAUGGAGGGAAAUAAAAAAAUUACAAAAGGCAUCAAGUGUGCUAUCUUUAUUCAGCGAUAGCAACAUCAUUUUGGCAUCUAU
ensembl:lincRNA